rnacentral:rRNA from 1 species
GCUAGUAAUCGCGGAUCAGAAUGCCGCGGUGAAUACGUUCCCGGGUCUUGUACACACCGCCCGUCACACCAUGGGAGUCGGAAAUGCCCGAAGUCUGUGACCCAACCGGAAGGAAGGAGCAGCCGAAGGCAGGUCUGAUGACUGGGGUGAAGUCGUAACAAGGUACC